GUGCAAGGACAUAUGUACAACUCGACGAUAGUACAGAGUUGCUAGAUGCUGUGAUGUUCGGUGAUGUUGCAGAAAACAUAUUCUCAUGUACUGCAGUUCAAUUAAGAUCAUAUUCGGACGAGAAACAUAAGUUGUUUGUCCAAAAAACUACGAAGCAAUUAUCAGCCAAAAAAUGGAGAAUUCAGUUGUACGUAGAUGCAAACCGAACAAUGACUUCAAAGUACAAUCAGUUCACCAUUCAAGCAGUUGAACCAAUGGAAGAUUAGGAAGAAGUUACUUUUUUUUUUUUACAGUAAUUUUAUUUUAUUUAGUGUUGAGACUUUUCUUGCUGCCGAGCUUCUUUUUCUUUCUCUUGACUUGUUAUUUAUGGAUUUACAUGGAGUAGUGUAUGCAAGUAUUUCAUAUACCCAGUUUUCUAAAAGUAAAUAAUAAGUAUUAUUUUAUUAUGAUUUAUAUA